GAGUAACGCGUGGGUAACCUGCCUUAUACAGGGGGAUAACAGUCAGAAAUGGCUGCUAAUACCGCAUAAGCGCACAGAGCUGCAUGGCUCAGUGUGAAAAACUCCGGUGGUAUGAGAUGGACCCGCGUCUGAUUAGGUAGUUGGUGGGGUAACGGCCUACCAAGCCGACGAUCAGUAGCCGACCUGAGAGGGUGACCGGCCACAUUGGGACUGAGACACGGCCCAAACUCCUACGGGAGGCAGCAUG
rnacentral:rRNA from 1 species